rnacentral:rRNA from 1 species
CUACAGGCUUAACACAUGCAAGUCGAGGGGCAGCAUGGUCUUAGCUUGCUAAGGCUGAUGGCGACCGGCGCACGGGUGAGUAACACGUAUCCAACCUGCCGUCUACUCUUGGCCAGCCUUCUGAAAGGAAGAUUAAUCCAGGAUGGGAUCAUGAGUUCACAUGUCCGCAUGAUUAAAGGUAUUUUCCGGUAGACGAUGGGGAUGCGUUCCAUUAGAUAGUAGGCGGGGUAACGGCCCACCUAGUCAACGAUGGAUAGGGGUUCUGAGAGGAAGGUCCCCCACAUUGGAACUGAGACACGGUCCAAACUCCUACGGGAGGCAGCAGUGAGGAAUAUUGGUCAAUGGGCGAUGGCCUGAACCAGCCAAGUAGCGUGAAGGAUGACUGCCCUAUGGGUUGUAAACUUCUUUUAUAAAGGAAUAAAGUCGGGUAUGCAUACCCGUUUGCAUGUACUUUAUGAAUAAGGAUCGGCUAACUCCGUGCCAGCAGCCGCGGUAAUACGGAGGAUCCGAGCGUUAUCCGGAUUUAUUGGGUUUAAAGGGAGCGUAGAUGGAUGUUUAAGUCAGUUGUGAAAGUUUGCGGCUCAACCGUAAAAUUGCAGUUGAUACUGGAUGUCUUGAGUGCAGUUGAGGCAGGCGGAAUUCGUGGUGUAGCGGUGAAAUGCUUAGAUAUCACGAAGAACUCCGAUUGCGAAGGCAGCCUGCUAAGCUGCAACUGACAUUGAGGCUCGAAAGUGUGGGUAUCAAACAGGAUUAGAUACCCUGGUAGUCCACACGGUACACGAUGAAUACUCGCUGUUUGCGAUAUACGGCAAGCGGCC